CGGGUCGUAAAGCUCUGUGGGGAGGGACGAACAAGCCUGGUGCUAAUAUCACCGGGCCCUGACGGUACCUCCUUAGCAAGCACCGGCUAACCCUGUGC
rnacentral:rRNA from 1 species